GUCCAGUUCAAAUUAUUUGCACGAGACUACAAAUAUUGACUAGAUAGAUAGUAAUCCAAAUAAAGAAAAGGAACAAUACAACUCUACAUGAAAACAAAUUCUAGGUUUGAACUGCUACGUAAUCACUAGCAUUGCACAAAAAUACUUCCUUGAGCAGUUCUCUUCUAAGUAAGUAGUUGGUAAAAUAAUAAUAUAUCAAUUAUAGGUUCCUAUGAAUGGGUGUGCAUUUUAAAUGAAAGGAUUUUUUUGGUCAUAUAUUUUACUUUAAAUUGCUUAAAUGGUGCUCAUAAUACAGAUGAUUUCUUUAGCUGGAUAUAUUAAUUAAUGGAAAUUGAUAAAAUGGAGGAAAACUUGUUUUGUACUGGUUAACAAGUUGUAAUUUCAAUUACACACUCUUUUACAAGUCCAGAUCUUUAUUUAACAUUUAACAAUUUGAACUAAAAACUCAAUUUUAAACUCUUGAUCUCCAGAUUCCUUAUCCAAACAUAAGUAUGUAAACUUAGGAAAGCCAUGAUAUCCUUAAACAUAAAAUCACGCAUUGGUCAGAAUCUAAAAUCAGAUUUCACAAUGAAAAUGCCCACCAGAAAAACCAAGGACUUGCAAAAUACAAUUUAGAAAUUU
rnacentral:misc_RNA from 1 species